GAAAUAUAACUUUGCUAUGUGCUUCUCCCAGCAUGCACUUCGUAGCCUAUAUGCUAUGGAUCAUUUGCUUGAGACCACACUAAAUAACCUAUAGGUGCAAUGGUAUUGCCCGCCCAGCGGAGAAUCAGAGAUGAGGGGUGGCAUCGGGCACACAUCGAUAUAUAACCUAAUAAGUAACUAAUUCUGAAACACUGAGAAAUAUUGAAAUUUGAUCAAUUACCAAUUACUGUCCAUUCGGAAAGUAUUCAGACCCACAUUUUGUUACGUUACAGCCUCAUUUUAAAAUGAAUUAAAUAAAAACAAAUCCUCAAUCUACACACAAUACCCCAUAAUGACAAAGUGAAAAGAUUUUUUGAAAAAUUAGCAAAUUUAUUAAAAAUAAAAACUGAAAUAUCACAUUCCGAAUGCACUGUACAUGACCCUCCCCUGGACUAGUUAAAAAAAUACUAAACCCUCCCUUUGAAUGAAAUUUUAAAAGCAUGACCCUUCCCCAUUUUCCUCCAGGUAACCAUUCUGUACAUUUAAUUCUAGCUAGCAAGCUAAUAUUCCAGAAGUUAGAGCAUUUAUUCUGAAGUGAAUGGGAAAACAAACAUGUUUUUUAUUGCAAUUUUUUUAUACAUUUUAGUAGUUGAUACAAUUAUUAUUCAUAUCAGUUAAUAAAAAUAAAAAAGUAGAAUCCUAGGGCUUUUUAAUUUGGGGGCUUUUAUUUUGAAGUUCUGUCUGUACAAAUGAACAUUUCUUUAAGCAUUUGCACACAGUGUUUGGACAAUAGCGUUUCCAUUUUUACUAGAUCCAAUUGACAUCGGGGCACAAGCGUCUGUUCAAAGACAGACAAAAUCCUGUUUUUCUGAAGACUACAAUAAUGGAAGAUGAGUGUUCUUCUGGAAGGGAAGGGAAGUUCAGCUGCUUGGUUGAGUCUUUUGCCGUGGUGGACUGCUGUUACCCAUAUGAGUAUCAGGGAGGACACAUUAUGGGGGCUCUGAGCCUGCCCAACACAGACGAGGCAGUGGAUAGCAUACUGUCCCAGAGGCUAAAACCCACACAUUUGAUAAGAGGCUUGUGUUGGAG
rnacentral:lncRNA from 8 species